ACUACGGGGGGCAGCAGUGGGGAAUAUUGGGCAAUGGGCGCAAGCCUGACCCAGCAACGCCGCGUGAAGGAAGAAGGCUUUCGGGUUGUAAACUUCUGGUGACAGGGAAGAGGAGAAGACGGUACCUGUCGAAUAAGCCACGGCUAACUACGUGCCAGCAGCCGCGGUAAUACGUCGGUGGCAAGCGUUGUCCGGAUUUACUGGGUGUAAAGGGCGGGUAGCCGGGUGGACAAGUCAGAUGUGAAAUCCUGCGGCGUAACCGCAGAACUGCAUUUGAAACUGUUGAUCUUGAGUACUGGAGAGGCAGCCGGACUUCCUAGUGUAGCGGUGAACUGCGUAGAUCUUAGGCGG
rnacentral:rRNA from 1 species